ACACUGAUGGUGAAACGGUAUCAUGCUUGCCUUCCAUCUUUCCAACGGGCGUGGCUAGCAAGCGGCGCGGGUUCGACUCCCGCUCAGUGUA